GAUGAACGCUGGCGGCGUGCCUAAUACAUGCAAGUUGAGCGAACAGAUGAGAAGCUUGCUUCUCUGGUGUUAGCGGCGGACGGGUGAGUAACACGUGGGUAACCUACCUAUAGGACUGGGAUAACUCCGGGAAACCGGGGCUAAUACCGGAUAAUAUUUUGAACCGCAUGGUUCAAUAGUGAAAGACGGUUUCGGCUGUCACUUAUAGAUGGACCCGCGCCGUAUUAGCUAGUUGGUAAGGUAACGGCUUACCAAGGCGACGAUACGUAGCCGACCUGAGAGGGUGAUCGGCCACCCUGGAACUGAGACACGGUCCAGACUCCUACGGGAGGCAGCAGUAGGGAAUCUUCCGCAAUGGGCGAAAGCCUGACGGAGCAACGCCGCGCGAGUGAUGAAGGUCUUCGAAUCGUAAAACUCUGUUGUUAGGGAAGAACAAAUUUGUUAGUAACUGAACAAGUCUUGACGGUACCUAACCAGAAAGCCACGGCUAACUACGUGCCAGCAGCCGCGGUAA
rnacentral:rRNA from 1 species